AUUGAACGCUGGCGGCAGGCCUAACACAUGCAAGUCGAGCGAGCGGAGGACGGGUGAGAAAUGUCUGGGAAACUGCCUGAUGGAGGGGGAUAACUCCUGGAAAAGGUAGCUAAUACCGCAUACCAUCAGAUGUGCCCAGAUGGGAUUAGCUAGUAGGUGGGGGAACGGCUCACCUAGGCGACGAUCCCUAGCUGGUCUGAGAGGAUGACCAGCCACACUGGAACUGAUACACGGUCCAGACUCCUACGGGAGGCAGCAGUAGGGAAUAUUGCACAAUGGGCGCAAGCCUGAUGCAGCCAUGCCGCGUGUGUGAGGAAGGCCUUCGGGUUGUAAAACACUUUCAGCGGGGAGGCGUUACCCGCAGAAGAAGCACCGGCUAACUCCGUGCCAGCAGCCGCGGUAAUUC
rnacentral:rRNA from 1 species